UACGUAGGGGGCAAGCGUUGUCCGGAAUUACUGGGCGUAAAGCGUGCGUAGGUGGUUCGUUAAGUCUGAUGUGAAAGCCCUGGGCUCAACCUGGGAAUGGCAUUGGAUACUGGCGACCUAGAGUGCGGUAGAGGGGUGUGGAAUUCCCGGUGUAGCAGUGAAAUGCGUAGAUAUCGGGAGGAACAUCUGUGGCGAAGGCGACACCCUGGACCAGCACUGACACUGAGGCACGAAAGCGUGGGGAGCAAACAGG
rnacentral:rRNA from 1 species